CCCCCCCCCCCCCCCCCUCUCCUCAACCUCUUCUUCUUUUAUUCUGAUUCUGUGGUUAUGGAAAUUUGCGCAAUGACUGAUUUGCCUAGUUUAUUGACUGGUUGAUCUGUUUCUAGAGAUAUUUAAAAAAAAAAAAGGUGUGUGCAUUGUUAACUUCUGAAGCUAUUUGGUGCAUUUUCUUGCAUUUGUAGUACAUUGAGGCUGGAGCUACAUUUUUUCGACGUAUCGUAUGGCUUGAUUAUAAGGAUUAUCCCAAGUUUGGCUUACUUAUGCUCGGGAAAGAAUGAGAGCAACUUUGGUUAAAUUUUGCUAUUAUGUUUAUGGAUUUCAGUUCAAAAUAGUAAAACGUCCAUUCUUGUUGAACAUAUCCCUUUGGUGUUCGUUCUUCCGAGUAAUCUGCUAUAUAUGUAUAUUGGCUAACUGAUGCAAGCAGCUCUAAGCUCAAGUUCAGCUCAUAGAAAUGGCUGAGUCUAAUUUUUUAGCUCAAAGUUGGCUCAUUUGAUCAAUGGCUCAGAUGAAAUGUGUAAGUUGCACUGGAGCUACUUGGAUUGAUUUUGACUUAUUC
rnacentral:misc_RNA from 1 species